rnacentral:rRNA from 1 species
CAGUCGCCGCGGUAAUACGUAGGGUGCGAGCGUUAAUCGGAAUUACUGGGCGUAAAGCGCACGUAGGCGGCUUGGUAAGUUAGAGGUGAAAGCCCGGAGCUCAACUCCGGAAUUGCCUUUAAGACUGCCGAGCUAGUAGGUGAGAGAGGUAAGUGGAAUUCCGAGUGUAGAGGUGAAAUUCGUAGAUAUUCGGAAGAACACCAGUGGCGAAGGCGGCUUACUGGCUCAUUCUAGACGCUGAGGUGCGAAAGCGUGGGGAGCAAACAGGAUUAGAUACCCCCGUAGUCCCUGUCUCUUAUAC